UUUGCCUACGAGGGCAGCAGUGGGGAAUAUUGCACAAUGGGGGGAACCCUGAUGCAGCGACGCCGCGUGGGCGAGGAAGUAUUCCGGUAUGUAAAGCCCUAUCGGCAGGGAAGAAGAAAUGACGGUACCUGAAUAAGAAGCACCGGCUAAAUACGUGCCAGCAGCCGCGGUAAUACGUAUGGUGCAAGCGUUAUCCGGAUUUACUGGGCGUAAAGGGAGCGCAGGCGGCGCGCCAAGUCUGAUGUGAAACCCCGGGGCUCAACCCCGGGCAUGCAUUGGAAACUGGCCGGCUGGAGUGCCGGUGG
rnacentral:rRNA from 1 species